GCUAUCUACAGGCUUAACACAUGCAAGUCGAGGGGCAUCAGGAAGAAAGCUUGCUUUCUUUGCUGGCGACCGGCGCACGGGUGAGUAACACGUAUCCAACCUGCCCUUUACUCGGGGAUAGCCUUUCGAAAGAAAGAUUAAUACCCGAUGGCAUAAUGAUUCCGCAUGGUUUCAUUAUUAAAGGAUUCCGGUAAAGGAUGGGGAUGCGUUCCAUUAGGUUGUUGGUGAGGUAACGGCUCACCAAGCCUUCGAUGGAUAGGGGUUCUGAGAGGAAGGUCCCCCACAUUGGAGCUGAGACACGGUCCAAACUCCUACGGGAGGCAGCAGUGAGGAAUAUUGGUCAAUGGGCGCUAGCCUGAACCAGCCAAGUAGCGUGAAGGAUGAAGGCUCUAUGGGUCGUAAACUUCUUUUAUAUAAGAAUAAAGUGCAGUAUGUAUACUGUUUUGUAUGUAUUAUAUGAAUAAGGAUCGGCUAACUCCGUGCCAGCAGCCGCGGUAAUACGGAGGAUCCGAGCGUUAUCCGGAUUUAUUGGGUUUAAAGGGAGCGUAGGUGGACUGGUAAGUCAGUUGUGAAAGUUUGCGGCUCAACCGUAAAAUUGCAGUUGAUACUGUCAGUCUUGAGUACAGUAGAGGUGGGCGGAAUUCGUGGUGUAGCGGUGAAAUGCUUAGAUAUCACGAAGAACUCCGAUUGCGAAGGCAGCUCACUGGACUGCAACUGACACUGAUGCUCGAAAGUGUGGGUAUCAAACAGGAUUAGAUACCCUGGUAGUCCACACAGUAAACGAUGAAUACUCGCUGUUUGCGAUAUACAGUAAGCGGCCAAGCGAAAGCAUUAAGUAUUCCACCUGGGGAGUACGCCGGCAACGGUGAAACUCAAAGGAAUUGACGGGGGCCCGCACAAGCGGAGGAACAUGUGGUUUAAUUCGAUGAUACGCGAGGAACCUUACCCGGGCUUAAAUUGCAGUGGAAUGAUGUGGAAACAUGUCAGUGAGCAAUCACCGCUGUGAAGGUGCUGCAUGGUUGUCGUCAGCUCGUGCCGUGAGGUGUCGGCUUAAGUGCCAUAACGAGCGCAACCCUUAUCUUUAGUUACUAACAGGUUAUGCUGAGGACUCUAGAGAGACUGCCGUCGUAAGAUGUGAGGAAGGUGGGGAUGACGUCAAAUCAGCACGGCCCUUACGUCCGGGGCUACACACGUGUUACAAUGGGGGGUACAGAAGGCAGCUAGCGGGUGACCGUAUGCUAAUCCCAAAAGCCUCUCUCAGUUCGGAUCGAAGUCUGCAACCCGACUUCGUGAAGCUGGAUUCGCUAGUAAUCGCGCAUCAGCCACGGCGCGGUGAAUACGUUCCCGGGCCUUGUACACACCGCCCGUCAAGCCAUGGGAGCCGGGGGUACCUGAAGUACGUAACCGCAAGGAUCGUCCUAGGGUAAAACUGGUGACUG
rnacentral:rRNA from 1 species